rnacentral:rRNA from 1 species
UACGAAGGGUGCAAACGUUGCUCGGAAUUAUUGGGCGUAAAGAGCUCGUAGGCGGCUUGUCGCGUCGGCUGUGAAAUCCCGUGGCUCAACUGCGGGUCUGCAGCCGAUACGGGCAGGCUAGAGUUCGGUAGGGGAGACUGGAAUUCCUGGUGUAGCGGUGAAAUGCGCAGAUAUCACAUGGAAUACCGAUUGCGAAGGCAGGUUACUAUCAAUAUAUUGACGCUGAUGGACGAAAGCGUGGGUAGCGAACAGG